UGGCACCGGCGCGAGCGCGCGUGGAGGCGGCACUCGGGAGGCAGCGAUCCGGGCUGCAGGCCCUCAAGGGUCCCUCAGGAGUGCGCGACAGGGGCCGGUGGCUCCCGCGCUAUUGCAGAUUGCUCCACAUGCUGCCAUGUCCCCAUCAUGGCUGAGGGCAGAGGCACAGAGGAGCCUGGAGACAGGAAGACUGAAGGUCCCCUGGAGUCCCUCUGGAUCCUGCACAGAAAGAGGACACUAGGUGAAAUCUGGAGACCCCUGAGUGAACUGUGGACUUAAGUUAAUGAUCUGUCAGCUCUGGCUCCUGAACUGUGGUAAAUGCAUCACUAAGAAGACAACAGGCUAACAGCUGGGGCUGGGUGGGCUCAGGGGAAGACUUAGGAUAUCAAGACCCUGGGCUUUGAUUCCCGGGACCACUUCAAAGAGGAGAAAGAGAAGGAUGUGGAGUAUCUUUGCUCUGAUGAGGAAAUGUGGAGCAAAGGAGCUUGCGGGCCCCGGGCUGCAGGUCAGAGGGUGCUGGGAGCUGGCCCUGCAUAGCUGGGCCAGUGCUGCUGCCUGCUAGAGCUGAGGUCUAGCGAGCUGUUCCUCUCUCCUGCUGUCCCAGAUGUGGGUACUUCCUUCCGCUCCUCCCCCCAGACUGCACCUCAGGUUUACUCUUAACCUGACGUGGUUCGGAGCUAGCUUCUCCAUAGCCGCCAUCACGUGGGUCCUACUUGCUGCUGUGGGGGAACAGAUCAGCCCUGCUCACCUGACCAUUUCUGGUUCUGGCAUCUUCUGUUCCCUCUCAAACAUACAGUGUGGCAGAAAGGAAAGGUGGUCACUCUCUUGGCGGGGUACCCUUCCUGGUGUGCUCGCUCGGCGGGAGAAUGAAGUGUGAACACAGUCUUGUGGCUUUCCAGAGUGUUUCCCGGCCCCGCCUCUGUCUUCUCAGCCACUGGGCCUACAAAGUUUCAUUCCCAGCUGUGGCUUCCCACCCUCUAGGCAGGCCCAGGAAGUCAGAGCCAUUCUGUUGAGGUGUGGGAGAUGUGACCUCCCCACGCGGCCCUGACGCCCCGCUGUAGAGGGUUAGCCUCCCCAGCAGCCAUCCCCCUUAUGUAAUCUGCACAUCACACAGGCGUGACUCCAGGUGCCUGUGGGAGGUAGCGCGGGGGUGAGCUCAGGGGCGCAAACAAGCCUCCAAGUUUCCUUGGGUGCCUCUCCUCUUGUUACAUUUCAGCGUCAUCCUGCGUCUGCCAGCUCGGUCACCCACUUGCCUAUUAGAAUAUAUUAACUGACAAUGCAGACUUAAAUAACUUGGGCAGGUGACAGGCUGCAGUGGGGGGCCCUCUGCACAGAACCCUUCUGCAGCAGGCCAAGUGAGUUCAGAGGACAAUGGGCGGACUGAGACAGGACGAUGGGCAGGGAGGGGCGGGGUGCAGCCUGCACAACGCCAAACUUAAAGUGAUAAGAUCCGGUGCCCUUGGCAACAAGGAAAGCCCACCCCACGGCAGGCACACCCAUGACUCUCUGUACGCACCAGCUCGUAGGGUUGUGCCUUAAGUGAAUAAGAGAACUGAACAGAGGCAUCUGUCAUCAGAGCAUGACCGGUCUGUGGUGACAGCUCUGGCAGCAGCAGCAGCCUAGGCACAGGCAGUCCAGCCUGUGCCCACUCGCUCUGCAGAGUGCCCUCCAUGGGCCAGAGUGGUCACUCAGUUUCCCAGGGGAGAGACAAAAUCCAAACCUUGCUUCCUGCUCACUGGCUCAUUGCGGGUGCUUUUCUGUCCCCUUCGCUCUCUUAUUGCUCUGCCUCUUCACUUAAGUUGUCUUAAAGGUGUCUAAAGGCGUUUUCAGGUUGCGGCAGAGGAAAUAGUUUUUCAGACUCUGGAGUCAAAAGACACCCAGCCCCGAGCCCUGGUGUGUUCCACCAGGUCCUUCCCCACCACACCCCCAUCUCCAGCUGGUCCUGCCAGAGUGAGAAGCCCAGACAUGUACAUACUGCUCCACAUGCUCACAGAUGGCUUCCCUGCUCGGGGCUGACUGCUGCUAAUUUAGGCUGCUGGAGGCUCCGUGUGCGCUCUCUCUCUUUUUUUAAUUCCAUGUUUAUUUAAAGCCAGAUUUUGAAAUCUUGUCUUCAACUCUGAAAUCUGAAAUCAUCUUGCUGCGGAUCUUGCCCCCCACCCCCAACACGGCGCAAAGUUUAGGGAGGCUUGAACGACUGGCCAGGGUCUCCUUACAGCAGUCCUGUUGUGUCAGCCCAGAGCACAGGAGGUCCCUGGGACAUGCCUGGUGUUUCCAUGUAAACAGGGGGAAGCUGUGUGGAACAUCUGAUUAGAGUCUCCCCUGUUUCCUGGUGCUGCAGAAGGGGCAGACUGGCUCAUCGCGCCCACAGUCCUACAACGGGACCUAGUGUGGCCCAGGUAUCUAGGACCCCAGUGCCAAUCCCCCAACUGGCUCUUGGAUUUUCAGAGCUCCUCUUAACCCAUAAAAGCCACAUACAGUGUCUUCCUGCUCUCUGGGGAAUCAAGUCCACCUAGAAGGGACUUCCUGGCUAGGGCUUGUUGGUGUGUUGACACAACACUGGGCUGCCCUCAGGCAGACAGUGCCUGUGUCACGGAGCACACAGUGGGACUCUGUCCCCUCACAGUGGGACCCAGAAGACUCCCUGGCAUGUGAGUGCUCCAGAGGCACCAGGACUGCACCCCAUUGCACGACAACUACCAUCUGCCCUUCUGCCCUUCCACAGCUCCCCUGGGGUGUGGGGAAGGGCUUUGGUGAGGAAUGAUCUUGAGGGAACUGGUCAAGAGCUGAGGUAUAGCCAGUUCCAGGAGGAAUGCCUGCACCUGGAAGGAAGCAGCAGGACUGCCUAAGGCACCGGCCGGAUUCCCACACCAGCCUCUGCCUCUUCCCCACCAGGCCGAGAAAAGGAAGGGUGCCGCUUCCACCCAGAGCCACCUGCAAGGCCUGCCAGGCAGGGCCUUUCUAACAUGGAGAGCGUGAAGAAGAGCUGGGACAGUGAGCCUGGCACGUCUGGUCAGAUGGGAAGAUGACUGUGAGGAAAACUGGUGGAGUGCUAAGUUUGGGAAUGUCAUUUCUCCAGCAGGCUCACUUCUCUCAAGGUUGAGAGACAGAGAUGUUUGUAGAGUAGUGUAGGAAACUAGCUGUCCCCCACCCCAGCCCCCGUCCCUGCCUGGAAACCAUGACUCUAAAAGAAUAUGCGAGACAUUUCACCCCCUAUCCAACCAAAGGUCGGCUGUACAACCUUUCCAAAUGUCACUCCAACCACUGCUGGCAGAACCCCAGAGAUGCCAAAGCACCUUGGUUCUGCUGUCGACUCUCACCCCAAGCUGCAGGGGGGUUUUGUUUGUUUUGGUUUUUGUCUUUUUUGUUUUUCUGCAGGAGCUAACGAAAUUCUUUGUGCACAGCCUGAGGAGUUGGCUUUCUGAGCCUUAGAGCUGGUGGUGUGGGACUCUGGUGUUUUUCCUGCCUUCCUGGGCUCCAAGACGUCCCAAGGAGAAAACCCCAUGCUCAGGUUUCCAGGCCAGACACUUAGGCAGGACAGUUCCAGGACACUAGGAUUAAGCGGUGGUACCUGGCAGUUUCCUCAGACAGGUCGGGGCACUGCAUCCACUGCUGCUGUUAACCAGGGAGCAGAUGGCGCAGAGCCGGUCCAGCGCCUGGCUCCUGGGGGUCCAGCUUGGCUGCCUUUUCCUAGGCCCCCCUGAGGCCUUGGCUCUUACAAUAGACUGCCACUUCUGAGACCCUU